UGGAACUUUAUUGAUUGGUUUAGAACCUUCCUUUAGGUUGAAUUGGAGGGUUUCUUGCUCCCAUUUGGAGUUUGAGUGAGGGUUCCUUCACUUGAGGUAAGUUUUCUCCACCUUAGCCUAGGUUGCUUAUUGAUUGAGCUUAGGGUUGAUCGUAAGAUUUGUUUGACCCUUGUUCCUACAUCUUUAGGGUGCUAGGAGACUAGUCGACACCUUCGUCGGAGCUUACGAAGGGUUUCGGUAUCUUCGGUGGGUUUGAC
rnacentral:lncRNA from 1 species